rnacentral:rRNA from 1 species
GAUUGGAUCACUCGGCUCGUGCGUCGAUGAAGAACGCAGCGAAAUGCGAUAAGUAAUGUGAAUUGCAGAAUUCAGUGAAUCGUCGAAUCUUUGAACGCACCUUGCACUCCUUGGUAUUCCGAGGAGCAUGCCUGUUUGAGUGUC